UACGAAGGGGGCUAGCGUUGCUCGGAAUCACUGGGCGUAAAGCGCACGUAGGCGGAUUGUUAAGUCAGGGGUGAAAUCCUGGAGCUCAACUCCCAGAACUGCCUUUGAUACUGGCGAUCUUGAGUUCGGGAGAGGUGAGUGGAACUGCGAGUGUAGAGGUGAAAUUCGUAGAUAUUCGCAAGAACACCAGUGGCGAAGGCGGCUCACUGGCCCGGGUACUGACGCUGCGGUG
rnacentral:rRNA from 1 species